rnacentral:misc_RNA from 1 species
AAUAGAAAGUAUUAUAUGAAUAACAGCUGUGAAAUAUUUACUAUAAUAUUGUAGGACUAGAGGUGCCAAAAUCUACAUUAGGACCAAAGCCAAGCGACGUAGAAGAUGUACAUUUACAAACUUUUACUUGCCGUUGUGUUAGUCUGUGUCUUGAAUGAAGGUUUAGCAUGGUGGGGUGGAAGUAGAAGCAGCUCAUCCCGUGGGGGCUCCAGCAGGAGAAGCAGCAGCGGAUCUAGCUCAAGCCGGCGAAGCUCGGGAUGGUGGGGUAGACGCAGAAAUCAACCAUCAAAUCCCGCUCCCAAGACAAACACUGUACCAGAGAGGAAACCAGCAUCGAAACCAGAAACAGAUAUGAAGAAAGUGAUAGAAGGAUAUGAAGAGAUGAAUUUGAAGGCAAACGAUGCUCAACCGAAAAAUCCAAAUGUUCAUGGCAUGACCAUAGGAAUAGGGUUUAAUUUAAACAGAGAUGAUGCCAAUAAAACGUUUGAGAUGAUCAUGCCUGGGCUUGAUUUCAACAAGGUUAAGUCGGGAAAGCAAGCAAUAACGGAAUACCAAGCUUGUGCUCUAUUCAAGCAUGAUAUUGACAACAUAUAUGAACCAAGAGCAAGAAAUGAAGUGGGAAAAGAUGUUUAUGACAAACUGCCGUACAAUGUGAAAACGGCGAUCGUAAAUGCAGUAUACAGGGGAGAUCUAAGACCCAAAACAGCAGACUUGAUCAAGCAGGGGAAAUGGGAUAAAGUUGGGAAGGAAUAUCUUGACCAUGAGCAGUAUAAGAAUGCGGACAAGCUGGGAAACCUGAUGUAAAGAAAAGAAUGGACUGGAACAAACAGCAGUUUGAUACCCUGAUAAAACCUUGAAACAACAACAACAACAAAACAAAUAAAAAUAUAAUUUAUAACUUGAGUAGAUGGGAACAAAAAACUGCUUGAUACCAUGAUUGAACAAGAAAAUCAUGAUCCAUAAUAAUUUAAUUUGAAUAGUUGAUAUUGUGGAAUUAUAUGAAAUAAAAAUAAGUGAAAGCAUUGGGUCUAUAUAUGUUGUCUUUAUUUUAGACCUUUGUUUAAACUAUUGAAAUUUGUUACAUUAGCAGUAUUACUUUCUAAAUAUAUACGACAUAUAUAGUUUCAUUUUCAGAUUUAUUGGCAUAUCACCAAAUACAAUAUAACUUUGGCCAUUUAAAAAUAUACAGAAAAGGAUGGCCAAGAUAUCACAAAAUACACAUUUAAGUUAUUAAGAAGCAACAACAUCUGCAAAUAUUUCCUUUCUUAACUGCAUAGCAUAUUUGGCUGUAUUUCUAUAUUUUAUUAUUGCUUGAAGAUUAUAUUCUAUUAAAUUUAUUUAUAUAUGCAUAGAGGAUAUUUGUUUGUUUCAGUGCAAGAUCGAACUAUACUUCACCGAGUGAGUUUUAGAUACAAUGCUUUUAUUGGCGCAACCACGACUGAAAAUGUGAAAUAUAGUGUUCACGAGUGAAAAAUAAUUCCAUCUUACAUGUAAAACAAACAAAUAUUCUUUUUAUUUCAUGCAUUUGCAAUCUGCAAUGGCUUUAACCAAAUUAUAUACAUGUAUAUUGUCAACGGAACGCCACGUAAAUUGCGUCAUGUGAUAUAAAAAAAAAUAUGUUGAAAAAUAAUGUAAAAUAGUUUGUGGUAUAAUGACUUUAAGAAUUCAUUAUACCAAAUAGUUAAGCAUUAUUCAUCCAGUUUUUCGGUCAGUGAUAAGUCAUACAUAAAAGAAUUUCGCAAUGUUCUGUUCAAAUAUCUUUAAAUUGUGUCACAUGAAAAACUGACAGGUUAUAAUAUCUCGCACAGGUUAACUUCCCUCUGGCCACGUAAUGAUUGUGUCACAUGAAAAACUGACAGGUUAUAAUAUCUUGCCCAGGUUAACUAACCUCUGGCCACGUAAUGAUUGUUGUUUCGUCCAGUUACUAAUUGUUUUGACAAGCUGACUAAAUAGGAAUCAUGACAUGUUUA